rnacentral:rRNA from 1 species
UACGUAGGGGGCAAGCGUUGUCCGGAUUUAUUGGGCGUAAAGAGCUCGUAGGUGGUUCGGUAAGUCGGAUGUGAAAUCUCCAGGCUCAACCUGGAGGGGUCAUUCGAUACUGGCCGUGACUAGAGGUCGGUAGGGGAGUGUGGAAUUCCUGGUGGAGCGGUGAAAUGCGCAGAUAUCAGGAGGAACACCCGUAGCGAAGGCGGCACUCUGGGCCGAUACUGACACUGAGGAGUGAAAGCGUGGGGAGCGAACAGG